rnacentral:rRNA from 1 species
AACGAACGCUGGCGGCAUGCCUAACACAUGCAAGUCGAACGAGACCUUCGGGUCUAGUGGCGCACGGGUGCGUAACGCGUGGAACCUGCCCUUUGGGUCGGGAUUACUCCCCGGAAGGGGUGCUAAUAACGGAUAAAGUCUUCGGACCAAAGAAUUAUCGCCUUUGGAUGGGCCCGCGUUGGAUUAGCUAGUUGGUAGGGUAAAAGCCUACCAAGGCGACGAUCCAUAGCUGGUCUGAGAGGAUGAUCAGCCACACUGGGACUGAGACACGGCCCAGACUCCUACGGGAGGCAGCAGUGGGGAAUAUUGGACAAUGGGCGAAAGCCUGAUCCAGCAAUGCCGCGUGAGUGAUGAAGGCCUUAGGGUUGUAAAGCUCUUUUACCCGGGAUGAUAAUGACAGUACCGGGAGAAUAAGCUCCGGCUAACUCCGUG